rnacentral:rRNA from 1 species
GCAUAUCAAUAAGCGGAGGAAAAGAAACUAACAAGGAUUCCCCUAGUAACGGCGAGUGAAGCGGGAUGAGCUCAAAUUUAAAAUCUGGCGGCCUCAGGUCGUCCGAGUUGUAGUCUAGAGAAUCGUUUUCCGCGUUGGCCUGUGUACAAGUCCCUUGGAACAGGGCGUCAUAGAGGGUGAGAAUCCCGUCCUUGACACAGACUACCAAUGCUUUGUGAUGCGAUCUCGAAGAGUCGAGUUGUUUGGGAAUGCAGCUCAAAAUGGGUGGUAAAUUCCAUCUAAAGCUAAAUAUUGGCGAGAGACCGAUAGCGAACAAGUACCGUGAGGGAAAGAUGAAAAGCACUUUGGAAAGAGAGUUAAACAGUACGUGAAAUUGUUAAAAGGGAAACGAUUGAAGUCAGUCAUGCUUUCCGAGACUCAGCCGAUUCUGUCGGUGUACUUCUCGGUUGGCAGGCCAGCAUCAGUUUCGAUCUGUGGAAAAGGUUGGAGGGAACGUGGCAUCCUCGGAUGUGUUAUAGCCCUUCUUCGAAUACAUAGAGCGGGACUGAGGAACGCAGCGCGCCUUUUAUUAGGUUGGCCCUCGGGUACAUACGCGCU